UUCUUCACCCCAAGGCCUGGAAAGUUGGGAAGGCCUCUCUAAGCUGGCCGCUCUGAUCAAAAUGUAACCUUGGCAUGUGAGGGACUGGCUCACUACAAAAGCAAUUGUCCCUCUCUUGGUAUUGACACCUCCUCACCAAUUAUUUGGAGUGGACCACACCCACCCUGACUGAAUUGGCCUUGUCAUCACUGAUUCUCCACUUGUAAGAACUUUUUGGGGCUGAGCCCCUCCACCCAACCCAGAGGGGGAUAAUACUGAAGGUACAACUAGCUGGUAGGUCAGAGGUAGACAGCCUUCUUUCCUGCCUCUCACCCCAACCCCCAGAAGACCUGCAGCUGCAUUGAGAUGUCUGAAAGGUGCACCAGGAGGCACUGCUCUUGCCAUGCUGCUACAAUUUUGAUGAGACAAAGCUUAAGGAAAAGGCAAUUUAGGGUGAGCAGAGGACCAUGCUGGUUCAGUGUAUGCUCAAGUUGCAAACCAUGCUGAAAAUAGUCAGUGGACACCAUAAUUGCCUGCAAGCUCUGCAAUUCUGGCUGUAAAGCAAUGUUGGCUCUGAAUCUACUAAUCAGUUGCUGCCAGCAGGAGUGCUGUUCAAGUUUGGAGCAUGUUUUACUAAAACUAUUUUUUCCAGUUUCUGGAUCCAUGGAAGAACUAUGUAGCAAUCACCAAAUACAAGCCUGUCCCGUUAGAGGAAUUCACUGGAGAAUGGAUUAAGAGUCUCUUUACCUACAGAUGAGAGAACACCUAUAACAUUUCCUCUAUUCUGCUUCCCACCAUCAUGCUUUCCAUGGCUCUUUAUAAACAGGAACUGAUGGAGAGAGUCAAAGCUUUAAAUAAGAGUGGCUUAAGUUGCCAGUCAUGUUAGAGACUUCUAGUCAAAUUCUCAUUGCUCUAAUGAAACUCCAAUGACUGCAAUUGGAGUUGCACCUGAUAUACAAUGGUAUAAAGGAGAGAAGAAUCUGGUGCAUUUGGUUAAUUUUUCACAUUAGUUUUGACCUUUUUGUUUGGGAGACACCUGGAUUAAACACCAUCUGAGCAACUAAUAGAGCCUUAGAGGGGAACAGGUUGCAAUUUUGUCCAUGUUGCAAGGGAACAUAGCAGAUGAGUUCUUGGUUUUUGCAUAAGAGUAUCACAGUAUAAAGGGAAGGGACAUGAUAGGGAAACCCCAGACCAUACUGUUUCCAGAAAAAAGGGGGAGUGUCUCCUAUUUCUGUUUGUUCAGACCUACCAGAAAUCUUGGCAGUAAGUACAAAACCUCUACCCGACCUGCAGCCUUCUGGUUCUGUGGAAGGAGCAGUUGUUAAAACGAUAAACUGACACAUUUUAGUAUGCUUUAAUUUAAGCCUCAAUUCUAGAUCAGCUAGUGUCAAUAUUUCAUUUCAAUCAUAGAAAAUGUGAGUGUUAACUGAUUUCAUUUACCGUACCUAUGCACGCUGAAUCACCGACUCGGCCAACCAGUUUAUUAGCGAGUCCCCCAGUGGAUGUUGCACAAGCUACGUUUCCUUCAUUGUCUAUAGCAACGGCACCAACUGUUCCAGGGUCUCUGCCAAGAAUAAUAUUUCACAGAAUUAGGCAGGGUUAAGAAUACUUGCCAAAGCAUGUUGUGUCCAUUCUGCAGGUAGUUUUUACAAAUGUGAGAUUACAACAGUAGUCUACAAUUGAAUGCCAUUAACUUUAAUCUAUCCUCAUGUGACAAUCACUUCAUUUUCAUGUAAUUGUGUUUUUUUUAAUGUAGGGAGUUUCAUUAUGAAAUCCACUAUCCAUUUCAGAUAACAAGCAAUAUGUAACAAUUCUGAUAUAGUAUCAACCUUAUAAUUGAUAGCACAGAUGUCAAACUCUUGGCCUGUUUGAUCUAUUUAUCUGAUCUCCCCACGAUACAUUUUUAUGAUCCAGUAUGAAAGCUUUCAUUUGGAAAGAAUAAAAAAAAUUCC